GACGAACGCUGGCGGCGUGCUUAACACAUGCAAGUCGAACGGAAAGGCCCUGCUUUUGUGGGGUGCUCGAGUGGCGAACGGGUGAGUAACACGUGAGUAACCUGCCCUUGACUUUGGGAUAACUUCAGGAAACUGGGGCUAAUACCGGAUAGGAGCUCCUGCUGCAUGGUGGGGGUUGGAAAGUUUCGGCGGUUGGGGAUGGACUCGCGACUUAUCAGCUUGUUGGUGGGGUAGUGGCUUACCAAGGCUUUGACGGGUAGCCGGCCUGAGAGGGUGACCGGCCUCAUUGGGACUGAGGUACGGCCCAGACUCCUACGGGCGGCAGCAGUGGGGAAUAUUGCACAAUGGGCGGAAGCCUGAUGCAGCAACUCCGCGUGCGGGAUGACGGCCAUCGGGUUGUAAACCGCUUUCGCCUGUGACGAAGCGUGAGUGACGGUAAUGGGUAAAGAAGCACCGGCUAACUACGUG
rnacentral:rRNA from 1 species